GAUGAACGCUGGCGGCGUGCCUAAUACAUGCAAGUCGAGCGAACAGACGAGGCGCUUGCUCCUCUGACGUUAGCGGCGGACGGGUGAGUAACACGUGGAUAACCUACCUAUAAGACUGGGAUAACUUCGGGAAACCGGCGCUAAUACCGGAUAAUAUACUGAACCGCAUGGUUCAUUAGUGAAAGACGGUUUUGCUGUCACUUAUAGAUGGAUCCGCGCCGCUUUAGCUAGUUGGUAAGUUAACGGCUUACCAAGGCAACGAUGCGUAGCCGACCUGCUAGGGUGAUCGGCCACACUGGAGCUGAGACACGGUCCAGACUCCUACGGGAGGCAGCAGUAGGGAAUCUUCCGCAAUGGGCGGAAGCCUGACGGAGCAACGCCGCGUGAGUGAUGAAGGUCUUCGGAGCGGAAAACUCUGUUAUGAGGGAAGAACAAAUGUGUAAGUAACUAUGCACGUCUUGACGGUACCUAAUCAGAAAGCCACGGCUAACUACGUG
rnacentral:rRNA from 1 species